ACACAUGCAAGUCGCAGGGUAACGUGAGGGAAGCUUGCUUCCCUUGACGACGACUGGCGCACGGGUGAGUAACGCGUAUCCAACCUUCCCAUGACCACGGGAUAACCCGUUGAAAGACGGACUAAUACCGUAUGACGUCGUUUGCUGACAUCAAAUAACGAUUAAAGGUUUGGCGGUGAUGGAUGGGGAUGCGUCUGAUUAGCUUGUUGGCGGGGUAACGGCCCACCAAGGCGACGAUCAGUAGGGGUUCUGAGAGGAAGGUCCCCCACAUUGGAACUGAGACACGGUCCAAACUCCUACGGGAGGCAGCAGUGAGGAAUAUUGGUCAAUGGGCGAGAGCCUGAACCAGCCAAGUAGCGUGCAGGAUGACGGCCCUAUGGGUUGUAAACUGCUUUUAUGCGGGGAUAAAGUGCGCGACGUGUCGUGCAUUGCAGGUACCGCAUGAAUAAGGACCGGCUAAUUCCGUGCCAGCAGCCGCGGUAAUACGGAAGGUCCGGGCGUUAUCCGGAUUUAUUGGGUUUAAAGGGAGCGUAGGCCGCCAGGUAAGCGUGUUGUGAAAUGUACCGGCUCAACCGGUGAAUUGCAGCGCGAACUGUCUGGCUUGAGUGCACGGUAAGCAGGCGGAAUUCAUGGUGUAGCGGUGAAAUGCUUAGAUAUCAUGAAGAACUCCGAUUGCGAAGGCAGCUUGCUGCAGUGCGACCGACGCUGAUGCUCGAAGGUGCGGGUAUCAAACAGGAUUAGAUACCCUGGUAGUCCGCACGGUAAACGAUGGAUGCCCGCUGUCCGCCCCUUUGUGGCGGGUGGCCAAGCGAAAGCGUUAAGCAUCCCACCUGGGG
rnacentral:rRNA from 1 species